UACGUAGGGUGCAAGCGUUAAUCGGAAUUACUGGGCGUAAAGCGUGCGCAGGCGGCUUUGUAAGUCAGAGGUGAAAUCCCCGGGCUCAACCUGGGAACUGCCUUUGUGACUGCAAGGCUUGAGUGCGGCAGAGGGGGAUGGAAUUCCGCGUGUAGCAGUGAAAUGCGUAGAUAUGCGGAGGAACACCGAUGGCGAAGGCAAUCCCCUGGGCCUGAACUGACGCUCAUGCACGAAAGCGUGGGGAGCAAACAGG
rnacentral:rRNA from 1 species